rnacentral:rRNA from 1 species
CAAUAGCGUAUAUUAAAGUUGUUGCAGUUAAAAAGCUCGUAGUCGGACUUCUGGUUGUGUUUUGCGGUCCGCCGCAAGGUGUGCACUGCGAAGGGCAACCAUCUGCUCGAGGACGGCGUGUGCCCUUAAUUGGGUGUGCGGUGGACUCGGGGCCUUUACUUUGAAAAAAUUAGAGUGUUCAAAGCAGGCAUUGGCUUGAAUAGCUCAGCAUGGAAUAAUGGAAUAGGACUUUGGUUCUAUUUUGUUGGUUUCUAGGACCGAAGUAAUGAUUAAUAGGGACAGUUGGGGGCAUUCGUAUUUAAUUGUCAGAGGUGAAAUUCUUGGAUUUAUGAAAGACGAACAUCUGCGAAAGCAUUUGCCAAGGAUGUUUUCGUUGA